UCAUAUCUAAAGUUGCAAAAAUAAAAAGAUUCUGCGGAUCUCAUAUGCAUGUACUAGAUCUUAAAAAGAUAUUUAUAUCUAAACUUUCCUCAUUUAUUGUAUUUUUCCCAAAAUUAAAAAUUAAAUAAAUAUAAUUUCACAUAUUACCUCCUGGAAAGUAAUGGAUGAUUCUAACCAUUCGAUCUAAUUAAAUGAAGGGCUCACAGUUACUUGGGUGUACCAUAGUAAAGCCCGGCUUCAAAACACUCGAAACUGGAUAGAUGACAGAAUCAAUGCCAUCAAAUACUCGAUUUUUGUAACAGAUAAAAUAAAUAGAACAAAAAAAUUAACCAAAUUAUUACUAUAAAAAGCCAAAUUAGAAGAUUACAAGGGUGAACCAAAUUAAACAUACAUACAAAAAAACACCAAAAAAUAAACAGAUAACUGUUCAUGUAAUCCAAAUGACUAUUCUUAAUAUUGAACAAUUAAUUUACACUAAUUGAACACAAAACUUACACGCAAAUACGAAUAGUAAAAUAUGCUAUAAUAAGAUGCAAUCUAGAACUACUCAGUUA
rnacentral:lncRNA from 1 species